GACAAAUUUUAGCAAGUCAUUGUUACUUUUAUGAAUAGCAUCACCGUGUGGCGCUGUACCUUUUCUUGUUGGUGAGGCCGAAAGUGCUGUGUUUUUAGCAGUACUUACAGCAUUUUUCCCUUUGUAUUUGCUUCCUACACUUUUCAUGGUGAACCAACACGGCUGCUGCCAAUAUGAACAUGUGAUGAGGAAGUUCCUAUAUCUUCUCCCUGCUUCAUAGUGGCAUGUCUUUCACGGAGAACAGAUUUAUUACUUUUGAAUCAUGUCAAGUGAAAGUAUACUUGCAAUAUAAAUAUGUGUUCAUGUGGUUGGUAAUCCCCCUUCUUUUAGCCCCAAGGAAGCACUAAAUUGCCCCGAUAUUGCUUUGAAGGAUUGUCCUGCAUUAUAUUCAUGCAGACUACAGUGCCACUCUGUGGAUAUAAGUGUUAAGAUGGCAAUCUGGUGCAUUCUCCUCCAGAUGCUGGUUGAACUUUGCUCAAGAGUAGUUUGUCCUCUCUGGUUGUACCACAAGUUCUAUUACUAUCGAUGCCUACAAAAUUACAAAUAAAAUUAAAAGUUCCCUAAGGGCAAGUCUCAGAAUAGUAGGGGAAAAAGAAAUUCGAAAUUGAUGGCAAACUGUUUGUAAGGAAUCUUUGUUGCUCGACUUUUUUAGUCAGGCUUCUUGUUAACUUUACCAAAAGUUUAUGAUGAAAUGUAAUUAAUGGCCCAGCUGUAUUUAGAUUUUAAAUAACACCUUGAUGGAUUCUGAUUGUUCUUGCAGAGUUUCAUGUGUUAGGUCAAUUGCUCUUGAAUGCUAAUGCUUGAUCCCUAUCCUAAGCAUGACGCAUUGUGUAAAUGAUAGAAUUUCCCAAGUUUCUACGUCAAUUAGGAUGAAUUUCUCUUGUCCCUUGCCUCCGUGUGAAAUCAAAAGAAGAAAAAGUGAAUCCAAAUGUGCAAGUGACAGUAUAUGAUUGAGUGGACUAUUUGCCCUCUGACUGUUCCACUGAUUCUUCACCGGAUCAGAAGGCAGUUGAGUGAUCGUCUUAGCCUAUCUACAACCUCUAAAGUCAUAAUUGGACCCAGUGGCAGAUACGGCUUUGGGUGUCAUUCCAGUCUACUCCACUCCGGUAUAUAUCUUGUAGUAUCUUAGUAUCAAGAAACAUGCACGAAGUAUGUGUCCAAAUUUAUAUGUAUCGAUAUGAGCUGUGUCGUGAACUGGGAAUCUAUGCAAUAUAGCGUUUGGCCAAUGAACACACUGAAGGCCAAACAGUGAUACCACACGUCUAAUCCUCGUAGAACCUGCAUGGUAGUUGGAGUCCAGUGGUUCUCCCUGUGACAAGUUGACUGUAGGGUCAACUCUAAUAUUUCAUAUCUUUCUGGUCAUUUUGUCUCCAAUGUGGUCUAGACAGAUAGCAAAGUUAGGAAUUGAUUGUCAAUUCAAGAUGGGUUGCCUUUCUACCUUAGUGGUCUUAUGCUCUGUAACCAUGAACUGCAUAAAUGCAUUCCUCAACCUAUGUAAAAUUGGCUGAUCGGCAAAAUUCUGCCAUGGAUCAAGCCUAACUGAGUUCAUUUGAGGGAAAAAGUGUAUACUUUUUUGUGUUCUAUUCGUGUUUUACGAACUAUGAAUGUGUCAGUUGAUUGGGGGGAGGAGUCAAUAGUAUUUUUCACCUGACUCUUAGUCAACCUUCGAGUGUUUGCAAACACUGUCAAUGGAACUUAUACUUAGAUGCUCAGGACGAGGCAUUCCAUUCCCUGAACAUCUGUAAGGUGUGGUGUCUGUUGUGAUACAGACAUUUACAGCUGCGAAUAAGGAUCCUUGAGUUUGGACCACUCCAACCUGUGGAUAGGAAUGUAAACAUUGUAUGAAAGGCGUCAGGUUGCUUUGGUUCGCUAGCUGGAGCUAGAUAAGGGACCUAAAGUGGUACACGGGGCAGUAUUUGUUUUUGGUAUGCCAGAUUAGAUUUGAGGAUCCUGUGACACGUCAUCUUUUGAAAUUUAUUGUGAGACAUAAGUGAUUUGCGCUGAUGAUGUUGUAUGAAAGUCUGAUUAUUGUUUCCUUAUUUGACACUUCUUCGAUAUUGCUUUUAUCAUUCAAAUCCCAAA